rnacentral:rRNA from 1 species
CCAACUGGGAUUGCCCUAGUAACGGCGAGUGAAGCGGCAAUAGCUCAAAUUUGAAAUCUGGGUCCUUUUAGGGCUCCGAGUUGUAAUUUGCAGAGGGUGCUUUGGCGUAGGUAGCGGUCUAAGUUCCUUGGAACAGGACAUCGCAGAGGGUGAGAAUCCCGUUUGUGGUCGCAUGCCUUCGCCGUGUAAAGCCCCUUCGACGAGUCGAGUUGUUUGGGAAUGCAGCUCUAAAUGGGAGGUAAAUUUCUUCUAAAGCUAAAUACUGGCCAGAGACCGAUAGCGCACAAGUAGAGUGAUCGAAAGAUGAAAAGCACUUUGGAAAGAGAGUCAAACAGCACGUGAAAUUGUUGAAAGGGAAGCGCUUGCAGCCAGACUUGCCCGUAGUUGCUCACCUAGGCUUUUGCCUGGGGCAUUCUUCUGCGGGCAGGCCAGCAUCAGUUUGGGCGGUCGGAUAAAGGUCUCUGUCAUGUAGCUUCCUUCGGGAAGAACUUAUAGGGGAGACGAAAUGCGACCAGCCUGGACUGAGGUCCGCGCUUCUGCUAGGAUGCUGGCGUAAUGGCUGUAAGCGGCCCGUCUUGAAACACGGACCAAGGAGUCUAACAUCUAUGCGAGUGUUUGGGUGUCAAGCCCGAGCGCGUAAUGAAAGUGAACGGAGGUGGGAACCCUUUGGGUGCACCAUCGACCGAUCCUGAUGUCUUCGGAUGGAUUUGAGUAAGAGCAUAGCUGUUGGGACCCGAAAGAUGGUGAACUAUGCUUGAAUAGGGUGAAGCCAGAGGAAACUCUGGUGGAGGCUCGCAGCGGUUCUGACGUGCAAAUCGAUCGUCAAAUUUGGGCAUAGGGGCGAAAGACUAAUCGAA